rnacentral:rRNA from 1 species
AGGUACCUGAGUAGGUCCGCUCCCGUGAAACGCGGACUGAAUCUGGGGGGACCACCCUCCAAGGCUAAAUACACGAGAUGACCGAUAGCGCAACAGUACAGUGAUGGAAAGAUGAAAAGAACCCCGGCGAGGGGAGUGAAAGAGACUCUGAAACUGUGUCCUUACAAGCGGUCAAAGGGGGCAACCCUGAUGGCGUGCCUUUUGGAGAAUGAACCAGCGAGUUAAUCGAUGUGGCAAGCUUAAGGG